UACGAAGGGGGCUAGCGUUGCUCGGAAUCACUGGGCGUAAAGCGCACGUAGGCGGAUUGCUAAGUCAGGGGUGAAAUCCUGGAGCUCAACUCCAGAACUGCCUUUGAUACUGGCGACCUUGAGUCCGGGAGAGGUGAGUGGAACUGCGAGUGUAGAGGUGAAGUUCGUAGAUAUUCGCAAGAACACCAGUGGCGAAGGCGGCUCACUGGCCCGGUACUGACGCUGAGGUGCGAAAGCGUGGGGAGCAAACAGG
rnacentral:rRNA from 1 species